rnacentral:rRNA from 1 species
UACGAAGGGGGCUAGCGUUGCUCGGAAUCACUGGGCGUAAAGCGCACGUAGGCGGCUUUUUUAAGUCAGAGGUGAAAUCCUGGAGCUCAACUCCAGAACUGCCUUUGAUACUGGAGAGCUUGAGUCCGGGAGAGGUGAGUGGAACUGCGAGUGUAGAGGUGAAAUUCGUAGAUAUUCGCAAGAACACCAGUGGCGAAGGCGGCUCACUGGCCCGGUACUGACGCUGAGGUGCGAAAGCGUGGGGAGCAAACAGGG